AGUGAACGCUGGCGGCAGGCCUAACACAUGCAAGUCGAGCGGCAGCGGGUCCUUUGGGAUGCCGUCGCGCGGCGGACGGGUGUGGAAUGCAUCUGAAUCUGCCCUGUCGUGGGGGAUAACCCCGGGCAACAUAGGCUUAUAUCGCACAUGCCCCACGCGUGAAAGCGGGGGAUAGCAUCACCUCGCGCGCUAGGAUGUGCCGAUGUCCGAUUAGCUAGUUGGCGGGGUAAAGGCCCACCAAGGCGACGAUCGGUAGCUGGUCUGAGAGGAUGAUCAGCCACACUGGGACUGAGACACGGCCCAGACUCCUACGGGAGGCAGCAGUGGGGAAUAUUGGACAAUGGGCGCAAGCCUGAUCCAGCCAUGCCGCGUGGGUGAAGAAGGCCUUCGGGUUGUAAAGCCCUUUUGUCCGGGAAGAAAUCGUCUGGGCUAAUACCCCGGGCGGAUGACGGUACCGGAAGAAUAAGCACCGGCUAACUUCGUG
rnacentral:rRNA from 1 species